AUUUGCUCUUCUCGAUCGAUGAUCUUUUUCUGAGGUUUCAUUUUUCAAUUUUUGGUCUCGUUUAUCGCUGAGAAAUUUAGAGUAAAAGAAAAGAAAAUUAAAUGAAAAUAAAAUAAUUUUCAUUAUGUUUUUAAUGAAUUACUUCAAUUCGCCUGUGAAACUAAAUCCACUCAAGUUUUCAAUUUUCCUUUUCUUUUCUUUUUGACUUUCAUCUUUGCAACCCAACAGAACCAGUUCUGUUCAAUUUUAGCAACUUACAGUCUUUAACAAAUUUAAGAGUGAUAGGAUGGCCUCUCUCCCCUCUUCUUC
rnacentral:misc_RNA from 1 species